UUAAUUAAUAAAGGUACGUUAAAUUAAAUUCAAUUCAACUUGUGCUCAAUAAUUAUAUUUAGAAAUAUAUCUAAUUAACUAAUUCUUAUUUAAAUCAUACAUAAAAUUUAAGUGCAUUCAUGAAAUUACACAUAUAAAUUUAACGGUAUUAACUAUUUUUGACACGAUUCAUAAAAUGUCGGCUUUGAAAAGAACCAUCUUUUUUGCAUAUUUCAUAUUAUUUUUUACAUGUAAGUUUCAUUUAUGUUUACAUUACAUGUUGCAUUUAUUAUGUUUGGUGUUUCAUGUUGGAAAUUGUGCCAGAAAUUAUUAUUUUCUCGCCCGUUUCAUGUAAGACGUUCAUGUUCCAUGUACAACCACGUCCGUCACAUGUAUCAACUAGUUUGUUGCAUGUUUAAUCUCUGAUGUUGCAUGUUUAACUUUCAUUUUGCAUAUUUCAUGUUAUUUUUUUCAUGCAAAUUUCAUGCUUCAUAUUUACAAUAUUAUGUUGAAUCUUUAAAGUUUGUUGCUUCAUGUCAUAAAAAUGGUGCCAAAAAAAUUUAUAUUCAUGUGUCAUGUACAACAUCAUUUGUCACAUAUAACAAAUACUGUUGCAAGUUUACAUCAUUCUCAUGUUUAAUUGUUGUUUGGUGUUUCAAGUCAUAAACGAUGGCGCCAAAAAUUUCAAAAUUCUUGAAAAAGAGCUGAUUUUAUAAAGAUUUAUGCAUAACAUUUUUCUCUUCAUCCAAUUCCAAUAACCAAAUACCUAAAAAUAAAAUUCAAUUGUUGCCUUAUAGCAAAGAAACCUAAAGACCGAAGAGAAAUAUGCCACUAAGAGGAAAAAAUUUCAUUGACAUUUCAAAUUAAUUGUAAGAUGUAGUUGUACUUUUGGUGAUUCCUACUUGGUAGCUUAAUUGCCUAAAACUCUUAGGUGGGUUAUUAAGCCUUAAUCACCUCAUAUUGUAAGUAACCCAAAAAUUUAAAUUUUACCCUUGUUUCAAGUUCAACAUUUACUUGUACUCAUGUUUGAUGUUCUUCAUUUCAUAUUGUACACUGAAUGUUGUAUCUUUGUGGUAUUUGUUUCAUGUCUAAAUAUCAUGUUUUAUUUUAUAUUUGCUAAUAAAAAUAUACACAUAUUCAAUUAAUGGCCUAAUUCAAUUAUUAGUUAAAUAAUAUAUGUUAGAUAAUAUUAUUGAACUCAAUUAGUCAAGACAUACAUACUUGUAUUAAAAAUAUUAUCCAUUUCCAUUGAGUAUUUAUGUGAGUGAAUAUUGUAUAUUUUUCAAUAGCUUUUUAACUAUGUAUUUUAAUUAAUUAGAUAAAAUUAAUUUUUUAAAAUUGUGUUACAAAUAUUAUAAGUAGGGAUAUAGCUAAUUAGCUAAUUUGUAUUUAACUUGUAGGCAAAAAAUAUAAAUAUGUUAAUAUAAGUCAAAAUAACACAUUGGAAACAUUUAAAUAUAUUAAGUAUCCGAGAUUCAAAUUCAGAUGGCCAACUAAAGUGUUGAGUUUCAACCUAAUGGUUACUCCCAAAUCAAGGGCCAAUUUGGUAAUACUGUAACUUUUAAAGUGAUUGAUGUUAGAUGUACUGUAUAAUCAGUUGUGAAGAGAAUUGGUUAAACAUUGGCUAAAAUUGAUAUUAUUAAUUUUAUUUUUUAUGUCAAUAUAAUUGGUAAUAAAUUUCUUGGGUUUCAAAAUAUUUGAAGGUCUUCUGUGUAUAAAUAUGAUGAAUAUUUUGAGCUUAUGUUUGUAGUAAAAUCCCAUUAAAUACUCAUGUGAUCCACGUUAUUUUACUAAACUAGAUUUAAUUAAUAAAGGUACGUUAAAUUAAAUUCAAUUCAACUUGUGCUCAAUAAUUAUAUUUAGAAAUAUAUCUAAUUAACUAAUUCUUAUUUAAAUCAUACAUAAAAUUUAAGUGCAUUCAUGAAAUUACACAUAUAAAUUUAACGGUAUUAACUAUUUUUGACACGAUUCAUAAAAUGUCGGCUUUGAAAAGAACCAUCUUUUUUGCAUAUUUCAUAUUAUUUUUUACAUGUAAGUUUCAUUUAUGUUUACAUUACAUGUUGCAUUUAUUAUGUUUGGUGUUUCAUGUUGGAAAUGGUGCCAGAAAUUAUUAUUUUCUCGCCCGUUUCAUGUAAGACGUUCAUGUUCCAUGUACAACCACGUCCGUCACAUGUAUCAACUAGUUUGUUGCAUGUUUAAUCUCUGAUGUUGCAUGUUUAACUUUCAUUUUGCAUAUUUCAUGUUAUUUUUUUCAUGUAAAUUUCAUGCUUCGUAUUAGCAAUAUUCUGUUGCAUUUUUAAAAUUUGUUGCUUCAUGUCAUAAAAAUGGUGCCAAAAACUUUUAUAUUCAUGUGUCAUGCACAACAUCAUUUGUCACUUAUAACCAAUACCGUUGCAAGUUUACAUUAUUCUCAUGUUUAAUUGUUGCUUGGUGUUCCAUGUCAUAAAAAAAUGGCGCCAAAAAUUUCAAAAUUCUUGAAAAAGAGCUGAUUUUAUAAAAGCUUAUGCAUAACGUUUUUCUCUUCAUCCAAUUCCAAUAGCCAAAUACCUCAAACUAAAAUUCAAUUGUUGCCUUAUAGCAAAGAAACCUAAAGACCGAAGAGAAAUAUGCCACUAAGAGGAAACAAUUUCGUUGACAUUUCAAAUUAAUUGUAAGAUGUAGUUGUACUUUUGGUGAUUCCUAUUUGGUAGCUUAAUUGCCUAAAACUCUUAGGUUGGUUAUUAAGUCUUAAUCACCUCAUAUUGUAAGUAACCCAAAAAUUUAAAUUUUAUCCUUGUUUCAUGUUCAACAUUUACUUGUACUCAUGUUUGAUGUUCUUCAUUUCAUAUUGUACACUGAAUGUUGUAUCUUUGUGGUAUUUGUUUCAUGUCUAAAUAUCAUGUUUUAUUUUAUAUUUGCUAAUAAAAAUAUACACAUAUUCAAUUAAUGGCCUAAUUCAAUUAUUAGUUAAAUAAUAUAUGUUAGAUAAUAUUAUUAAACUCAAUUAGUCAAGACAUACAUACUCGUAUUAAAAAUAUUAUCCAUUUCCAUUGAGUACUUGUGUGAGUGAAUAUGAUAUAUUUUUCAAUAGUUUUUUA
rnacentral:lncRNA from 1 species